rnacentral:snRNA from 2 species
AUACUUACCUGGCAGGGGAGAUACCAUGAUCACGAAGGUGGUUUUCCUAGGGCGAGGCUUAUCCAUUGCACUCCGGAUGUGCUGACCCCUGCGAUUUCCCCAAAUGUGGGAAACUCGACUGCAUAAUUUGUGGUAGUGGGGGACUGCGUUCGCGCUUUCCCCUG